GCACAAGCGGCGGAGCAUGCGGAUUAAUUCGAUGCAACGCGAAGAACCUUACCAAGGCUUGACAUACACCGGUAACGCCCAGAGAUGGGUGCCCCUUUGUGGUCGGUGGACAGGUGGUGCAUGGUUGUCGUCAGCUCGUGUCGUGAGAUGUUGGGUUAAGUCCCGCAACGAGCGCAACCCUCGUCCUAUGUUGCCAGCGGGUCAUGCCGGGGACUCAUGGGAGACUGCCGGGGUCAACUCGGAGGAAGGUGGGGAUGACGUCAAAUCAUCAUGCCCCUUAUGUCCUGGGCUACACACGUGCUACAAUGGUUGGUACAACGAGUUGCGAGUCGGUGACGGCGAGCUAAUCUCUUAAAGCCAAUCUCAGUUCGGAUUGUAGGCUGCAACUCGCCUACAUGAAGUCGGAAUCGCUAGUAAUCGCGGAUCAGCACGCCGCGGUGAAUACGUUCCCGGGCCUU
rnacentral:rRNA from 1 species